CAGCCGCCGCGGGAAUACGAAGGGUGCAAGCGUUACUCGGAAUUACUGGGCGUAAAGCGUGCGUAGGUGGUGGUUUAAGUCCGUUGUGAAAGCCCUGGGCUCAACCUGGGAAUUGCAGUGGAUACUGGGUCACUAGAGUGUGGUAGAGGAUAGUGGAAUUUCCGGUGUAGCAGUGAAAUGCGUAGAGAUCGGAAGGAACAUCUGUGGCGAAGGCGGCCAUCUGGGACAACACUGACGCUGAGGCACGAAAGCGUGGGAGCAAACAGGAUUAGAUACCCCCGUAGUCCCUGUCUCUUAUACA
rnacentral:rRNA from 1 species